GGGGGGAGCAAGCGUUGUUCGGGAUCACUGGGCGUAAAGGGAGUCUAGGCGGUCAGAUAAGUGGAAUGUGAAAUCCCUCGGCUUACCCGAGGACCUGCAUCCCAAACUGUCUGGCUUGAGUAUGGGAGAGGAUGAGGGAAUUCCUGGUGUAGCGGUGAAAUGCGUAGAUAUCAGGAGGAACACCGGUGGCGAAAGCGCUCAUCUGGCCCAAUACUGACGCUGAAGCUCGAAAGCUAGGGGAGCAAACGGGAUUAGAUACCCCGGUAGUCCUAGCCGUAAACGGUGAUCACUAGGUGUUGGAGGCAUCGACCCCUCCAGUGCCGCAGCUAACGCAUUAAGUGAUCCGCCUGGGGAGUACGGCCGCAAGGUUG
rnacentral:rRNA from 1 species